rnacentral:rRNA from 1 species
ACUACGGGAGGCAGCAGUGAGGAAUAUUGGUCAAUGGGCGAGAGCCUGAACCAGCCAAGUCGCGUGAAGGAUGAAGGAUCUAUGGUUUGUAAACUUCUUUUAUAUGGGAAUAAAGUGAGGAACGUGUGCCUUUUUGUAUGUACAAUAUGAAUAAGCAUCGGCUAACUCCGUGCCAGCAGCCGCGGUAAUACGGAGGAUGCGAGCGUUAUCCGGAUUUAUUGGGUUUAAAGGGUGCGUAGGUGGUUAAUUAAGUCAUCGGUGAAAGUUUGUGGCUCAACCAUAAAAUUGCCUUUGAAACUGGUUGCCUUGAUUAUAUUUGAGGUAGGCGGAUUGCGUGGUGUAGCGGUGAAAUGCAUAGAUAUCACGCAGAACUCCGAUUGCGAAGGCAGCUUACUAAACUAUAACUGACACUGACGCACGACAGCGUGGGGAUCAAACAGGAUUAGAUACCCUUGUAGUC